GGGCCCUUAGUUAAACGGUAUAAUGCGUCCUUUGCACGGAUGAGUAAAGGGUUCGACUCCCUUAGGGUCCACCA
rnacentral:tRNA from 1 species